GAUGAACGCUGGCGGCGUGCCUAAUACAUGCAAGUCGAGCGAAGCGGGGACGGGUGAGUAACACGUGGAUAACCUCCUAUAAGACUGGGAUACCUUCGGGAAACCGGAGCUAAACCGGAUCAUUAUAGCUGGAUCCGCGCUGCAUUAGCUAGUUGGUAAGAUAACGGCUUACAACAGCAACGAUGCAGAUCCGACCUGAGAGGGUGGUCGGCCACACGGGAACUGAGACACGGUCCAGACUACUACGGGAGGCAGCAGUAGGGAAUCUUCCGAAAGGGGGGAAUGCCUGACGGAGCAAGACCGCGUGAGUUAUGAAGUUCUUCGGAUCGUAAAACGCUGUUAGUAGGGAAGCGGUACCUAAUCAGAAAGCCACGGCUAACUACGUGCCAGCAGCCGCGGUAAUAC
rnacentral:rRNA from 1 species